rnacentral:rRNA from 1 species
UACAGAGGUCUCAAGCGUUGUUCGGAUUCAUUGGGCGUAAAGGGUGCGUAGGCGGCGCGGUAAGUCGGGUGUGAAAUCUUGGAGCUUAACUCCGAAACUGCAUUCGAUACUGCCGUGCUUGAGGACUGGAGAGGAGACUGGAAUUUACGGUGUAGCGGUGAAAUGCGUAGAUAUCGUAAGGAAGACCGUGGCGAAGGCGGGUCUCUGGACAG